GCCGGUAUGGCGGAAUAGGCAGACGCUCGGGACUUAAAAUCCCGUGCCCAGUGAUGGGCGUGCCGGUUCGACCCCGGCUACCGGCA
rnacentral:tRNA from 5 species